GAGCGAACGCUGGCGGCAUGCUUAACACAUGCAAGUCGCACGGGUCGGGUUUCGGGCCCGGCAGUGGCGGACGGGUGAGUAACGCGUAGGUAUCUAUCCCUUGGAUGGGGGACAACCGUGGGAAACUACGGCGUAAUACCGCAUGACGACCGAGGUCCAAAGGCCGCGAGGCCGUCUGGGGAGGAGCCUGCGUCCGAUUAGCUAGUUGGUGGGGUAAC
rnacentral:rRNA from 1 species